rnacentral:lncRNA from 1 species
UACACAUAGAAAACAAGUCUUAUAUCCCCUCAUAUAAGUUUCACUCCAAUCCAACCAAUACAUUGCAAGAAAUCCCAAAAAAUCCUACUAAAUAAAAAAUUCUACUUUCUGAGACCUUGACCCACUUAAACCUCAAUAUUCCUUAAUUCAACCGUUGAAUCAAGCUCAAAUUCAUGAUACAUAUUAAACACAACUAUAACCAUAAAUCCAAAAUUUUUCACUUAUAGAUCUAUUACCAAACAUUUGAAAUCAUCCAAAACGUAAAACCUAUUUUAUUUCAUAAAAUCUAAGUCAUCCAAAAUAAACCUUGACUUUGCAAAGCUCUUACAAAGUCAUAUCAACUCCAAAUCACCCAAACUCAAUGCUCUUAGAAAUCUUAUUCAGUCUGCUUUCAAACCUCAUUCU